rnacentral:rRNA from 1 species
UACGGGGGGGGCAAGCGUUGUUCGGAAUUACUGGGCGUAAAGGGCUCGUAGGCGGCCAACUAAGUCAGACGUGAAAUCCCCAGGCUUAACUUGGGAACUGCGUCUGAUACUGGGAGGCUUGAGUGCGGGAGAGGGAUGUGGAAUUCCAGGUGUAGCGGUGAAAUGCGCAGAUAUCAGGAAGAACACCCGUGGCUAAGGCGGCUCUCUAGUACGGUACUGACGCUGAGACGCGAAAGCGUGGGGAGCGAACAGG